rnacentral:rRNA from 3 species
AGAGUUUGAUCCUGGCUCAGGACGAACGCUGGCGGCGUGCUUAACACAUGCAAGUCGAACGGAAAGGCCCUGCUUUUGUGGGGUGCUCGAGUGGCGAACGGGUGAGUAACACGUGAGUAACCUGCCCUUGACUUUGGGAUAACUUCAGGAAACUGGGGCUAAUACCGGAUAGGAGCUCCUGCUGCAUGGUGGGGGUUGGAAAGUUUCGGCGGUUGGGGAUGGACUCGCGGCUUAUCAGCUUGUUGGUGGGGUAGUGGCUUACCAAGGCUUUGACGGGUAGCCGGCCUGAGAGGGUGACCGGCCACAUUGGGACUGAGAUACGGCCCAGACUCCUACGGGAGGCAGCAGUGGGGAAUAUUGCACAAUGGGCGGAAGCCUGAUGCAGCAACGCCGCGUGCGGGAUGACGGCCUUCGGGUUGUAAACCGCUUUCGCCUGUGACGAAGCGUGAGUGACGGUAAUGGGUAAAGAAGCACCGGCUAACUACGUGCCAGCAGCCGCGGUGAUACGUAGGGUGCGAGCGUUGUCCGGAUUUAUUGGGCGUAAAGGGCUCGUAGGUGGUUGAUCGCGUCGGAAGUGUAAUCUUGGGGCUUAACCCUGAGCGUGCUUUCGAUACGGGUUGACUUGAGGAAGGUAGGGGAGAAUGGAAUUCCUGGUGGAGCGGUGGAAUGCGCAGAUAUCAGGAGGAACACCAGUGGCGAAGGCGGUUCUCUGGGCCUUUCCUGACGCUGAGGAGCGAAAGCGUGGGGAGCGAACAGGCUUAGAUACCCUGGUAGUCCACGCUGUAAACGGUGGGUACUAGGUGUGGGGUCCAUUCCACGGGUUCCGUGCCGUAGCUAACGCUUUAAGUACCCCGCCUGGGGAGUACGGCCGCAAGGCUAAAACUCAAAGGAAUUGACGGGGCCCCGCACAAGCGGCGGAGCAUGCGGAUUAAUUCGAUGCAACGCGUAGAACCUUACCUGGGUUUGACAUGGAUCGGGAGCGCUCAGAGAUGGGUGUGCCUCUUUUGGGGUCGGUUCACAGGUGGUGCAUGGCUGUCGUCAGCUCGUGUCGUGAGAUGUUGGGUUAAGUCCCGCAACGAGCGCAACCCUUGUUCACUGUUGCCAGCACGUUAUGGUGGGGACUCAGUGGAGACCGCCGGGGUCAACUCGGAGGAAGGUGGGGAUGACGUCAAGUCAUCAUGCCCCUUAUGUCCAGGGCUUCACGCAUGCUACAAUGGCUGGUACAGAGAGUGGCGAGCCUGUGAGGGUGAGCGAAUCUCGGAAAGCCGGUCUCAGUUCGGAUUGGGGUCUGCAACUCGACCUCAUGAAGUCGGAGUCGCUAGUAAUCGCAGAUCAGCAACGCUGCGGUGAAUACGUUCCCGGGGCUUGUACACACCGCCCGUCAAGUCAUGAAAGUUGGUAACACCCGAAGCCGGUGGCCUAACCGUUGUGGGGGAGCCGUCGAAGGUGGGACUGGUGAUUAGGACUAAGUCGUAACAAGGUAACC